AUUUCAUUCCAGAAAGAAUGACUAUUAUGAAGAAAUCAAACAAUAAGAAUUGCUGAUGUGGCUGUAAGGAAAAAGGAACCCUUCUUCAUUGCUGUAGGAAAUGUCAACUGGGGAAAUCACUGUAGAAAUUUAUGUUGAGAUUCCUAAAGAAAUGUAGGCUGGAUGUUUCAUUUGACCCAGAGCGAGGCCCUUGGAGUCUUCCUUGUGACACCAGUCUUACAUUUGGAGGCCCCAGCGAGAUCAAACUGAGAUCAGACCUCCUCGCAGAGGGAGACCCCAAUGGCACCUCUCUGGGGAUAAGAUGGGACAGACAACUUCAUCUCCUCUCUCCCUUACCUUGGACCAUUGGCCCGAGGUUUGAGAGUGAGCUCACAAUCUUUCUCUCCAGGUUAAGAAGGACAUGAUUAAUGAUGGUACAGCUGAAGGAAAAAUGCCCUCCCUACAGUAUUGGCCAUUUUCCUCCUUGGUUGCCUGUUUAAAUUUGUUACUAACUUAGGGGCUUGUUGCUCAUUUCUGUUGCAGGAUCCAUAUGGCUUAUUAGAUUCAAGGUUCAUAAUAAGAAAAAUUAUUUCCUUGAGCUCACCAAACUGUGCAAGAAGCACCCUUUGUUUGUGUCUUUAAUGUUGUGGCGCCUUGUUUAAUAUGUAAGUCUUCAAUUGAUUGCUGCAACCUCGGCAUGCCUUUUAAAAGGAGUAUUUUUCUUUCUGGUUAAAAAGUAAACAUAUGUGCACAUAUAUGUGUAUAUUUAUGGUUUUUAAGAAUCAUAUCAACUUUACCAAGUGAAAACCAGGUCAUACUGUAAUUGAGCCAGUAAAAAGGUUAUUGUUUUAAAAAAACAGCAUUUUAAUGUGGUAAAAAGACAUAAAAUAAUUUACUAUGAUUUAGACUACUAGAAGGUGACUUCAAGGGUUUUGUUGUGAGUUUUAAUGUUGUCUGAGAAGUGAGAGAAAAGGUAAUUGAAUGGUGAUAGUAAAAAGGAGGGACAAAGAAAGUGGUUUGUCUUCAAGUAAAAAUGUCUGGCUGUGCCAGAAUAUGAAAAAAGAUAAAACUUGGAGGUAUAUUGUAAGUUGUAAAAAGCUCGAGAUAAUGUAAAUUUUAUUUGCCUUGGUUAUAGUACUGAAAACAGCAGGUUUGACAAGAAGUAAAUGUGUUCAAAAUUUGACAGUAUUAGAUCAGUUUUGGUAGAUUUAUUUAUAAGAUUCUAAACCUUUGCUGCAAAGUGUUUCCAUUAAUAUGAGAUUAUAGAUGAUAAUAGAGUUAAGAUAUAAGUUCUUACAUGUGCUGUGGACAUCUGGUAGAUUAUAUGGCACAAUUUUGUUACCUAUGAAAAGGCUUCUUUUUGUUAAGUAUGUAAUUUCAGUAAAAUGAUGGCCUGCCACGUGGCACCCUGGGACAAAAGGUGGUGUGCCAUCCAGAUAAAGCCUGCUCUCUGAUCUGGAAUGCCAAAACUAUGUUUUUCCCUUUGUCCCACCCCGAUUGGACAUCCAGAGGUAAGGGGGUUUCCCCAGCAUCGCCAGUUGUUCUCUUUGCAACUCAGUCGGCCCCACAUGUUAGAAAAAAGAUUACAAAGGUUUGAGAGUUUUUGAGAAAAUGCCCCUCAGCCAGUUGAUAGAGAUAACACAAGAGAUCUUUUAAAAUUAAGAAAAAAACAAAAACACCCUGAGAUAGUGCUCCUCCAGUUCGUGAAUGACUUGUUAAUAGCCUCAAACCCCCGCCCCAAAAGCUUGUAAGCUUAUCGAGAGGCAACUGAGAAACUGUUAAGUACUUUGGGGCAAUUAGGCUAUAAAGUCUCAGCUAAAAAGGCCCAGUAGUGCUGUCAGGCUGUGACUUAUCUGGGCUACAAAUUGCAAAAAAAAAAAAAAAGGAGGACUUUGUCUAAAAAGGAGCCCAGGCUAUAUUGCAGAUCCCAUUCCCAGAAACUAAGAAACAGGUGCGCAAAUUUCUGGAAGCUGUCGGAUACUCCAGGCUGUGGAUUCUAAAUUUUACUGAAACAGCUCACCCCCUAUAUGGCUCCCUUAAGGGAAAAACUCACUAAACUGUACUGAUAAAUGUGAACGGAUCUUGCAGCAGCUCAAGUGGGCCUUGACAGAGGCCCCAGCCCUGGGACUCCCUGAUGUUACCAAGCCAUUCCCCUUGUUCAUAGAUAAACUCAGGGGCAUUGCCAAAGGAGUCCUAACCCAGGACAUUGGCCCUUGGAAGAGGCCUACAGCCUAUUUUUCCAAAAGGCUCAAUCCAGCAGCAAGAGGGUGGCCUCCAUGCCUAAAAAUUCUGGCUGCUGUGGCAAUGCUACUUAAAAGAGGCUAAGGUACUCACUUUUGGACAGAUUUCUGUAGUGACCUCCCACAGUUUAGAGACUCUUAUCAAAACCCCUCCCGAAAAUGUGAAUGCUAAAAUCUCACACUAUUAGGCCCUGCUCCUAGACCAAGAAUUGGUAGUUUUCAAGACUUCUUCAGCUUUAAACCUGGCCACCCUUAUGCCUGACAAUGACCUGAGAAAUUUCACAGAUGAAAGCAGCUUCAUCCAGGAGGCAGAGGCAGAUGAGUGGCCGGGGCAGCAGUGACCACCAAAAAGGAGGUACUCUGGGUUAAACGGUUAGAGCCUAGCAUCUUUACCCAAAAGGCAGAGCUCAUUGCUUUGACUGAGGUACUAAAACUAGCCACGGGAAAGAGGAUAAACAUCUAUACUGAUAGUAGAUAUGCUUUUGCUACUAUACAUAUACAUAGAGCCAUCUAUUAAGAGCGAAGUCUCUUAACCUCGGCCAGAGCUAAGAUAAAAAAAUAAAAAAAAAAAGAGGGCUCCACAAAUCCUAGAUUUGCUGGCAGCAGUCUGGCUGUCAGCAGAUUGCUGCUAUUCACCUGAGAAAACAAUUUGGCAGAUCAGGCCACUCAAAGAGUAACAAUCACAUCAGAGAGGCCAGCCGAGAAAGUAACUGCUCUAAUUCGAGUCCCCCCGACCUUGUCAGAACCAGUCUACACAAAAAAAGACUGCACUGGUUGUUGUGAGCCAUCUAACGGAUUCCAGUCCCUGUGACUAAAAGACAAGUACAAAAUUUCUAGGAGCCACAGGACUGAUCCAGAGUUUGGGACCCUGGCAGAGGUCUGUUGCCUACCUUUCCAAGAGACUUGGUUCUGUGACAGCCAGAUGGCCACCCUGUCUACAGUGAUUUCCUCAGUGGCCCCCUCAUACAGGAGGAUUAAAAAUUGACUUUUGGACACAAACUCUUAAUUGUUUCCUCCUAUUCACUGGAGACUCUCAUCAAGGCCCCACCAGACUGAUGGAUGUCUAAUUCCUGAGCCAUACAUUAUCAGGCACUCUUUCUGGAAACAGCAGCUUCAAACUUGGCUACUUUGCUGCCUGAGGACGACCCCUCGUUGCCUCACCACAAUUGUACUGAGGUCAUUGAUCACCUCACGGAACGUCGACCUUAUCUAGUGGAUAAGCUACUAUCUAGAGUUCUACUUCUCUGAUGGAAGCAGUUACAUCUAUCAAGGUAAGCAGGUCAUGGGAGCUGCCAUUACACAAAAUCUUAGGUUCUAUGGGAACAAAUCUUAGAGCCAGAGACAUCAGCAUAGUGGGCUAAACUCGUUGUCCACACUGAGGCCUCAAGUUGUCUUUAUCAAAAAUGGUAAGAUUACAAUUGCUCCCCAAAUUUGGACUUGUUGGCUGCCAUCUAGAUGCCAAGGAGAGUGGCUACUAUCUGCUGUAUAAGCCAUUGGGCAGAAGAUGAUCUUGUUAUAGGAGAAAAUAAUUUGGCAAAUGCCACCUUCCAAAAGACAGCCAGAAAGCCCCAAAAUCAGUGGGGAUUGAGAUAAGCUUGACAUUACUGCUGAUCUCACCUAUUUUCUUUGUCAGAGCCCAUUUGCACUUAAAAAGACCAGCAUCUGGCAGCUCAACUUCUGAGAGAUUCCCAGGACUAAUAUCAAGCUAGCCCAGUCUGUGAGCUUCAGAUGCCCUCAGUGCCAAUUGGUAAAUCUAAAAGUACUGCAACAAAUAAAAACCACUGGUUAUCGUGGGACUAUGCCUAAAAACACUGGAAAAUAGAUUUUACAAAAAUAAAAAGCCUAAACUUCAAAGAUAUAAAUGUUAUAAUGGUUAAUACUUUCAAUAGAUGAGUAAAAGCGUUUUCUACUUAGUCUGAGUCAGCUCUGAUAACAGUUUCCCUGAUUUGGUCACCCUUUUUAUCCGUGGGGUCCGACAAUGGCCUGGCUUUUAUAGCCUAGUAACUCAAAUUAACCUAAGCUUUACAGAUCAAUUAAAAAAAAACUCAAUUGGACUUACCAGCCUCAGAGUUCAGGAGAGGUAAAAAGAUAAGUCAGAUUUUAAAGACCAUAAUUACUAAUGGCCUUAAAAACUGGUGAAAACUGGGUGAGUCUCUUUUCCUUCUGCCCCUUUUGCAUGCGUGAUGCAUCCCCUAUGUUACAGAUAUUUCCUCUUUUGAGGUUUUAUGUGAAAAGGUUUCUAGAAAUUAGCUGAUUUAACUAAUCAAGAUCUUAUUAAGUCUCCCCCAGACUUUUCAGCUAGCUGUGACUUCCAUCCACUGGUUAUUUUGCUGCUGCCCUCUGCGAGCUAAAGAGGCUAGGCACCUGGACAAGCGACCUUACCGUAAAUCUCUUGAGCUGCAAUGGACUGUCAAAGUAGCUGAAAGCCUGCCUGGAUUCAACGUUCCCACUGCAGACAUGUCCCAGCUUCAAAAGACCAUCAGCCUGAGGAUAAGUGAACUGUCAUUUCUUCCAAGGACACUUUAAAGCUUAAGAUUGUCUAAUAUAACUGAUAAUUUUGUGUUCUCCUCCUUUGUAGAGACCCUAAGGAGGCCUCUGUCUGACUUAAAAAUUGUUACUUGUAUGAUAAAACAGAGUAAAUUUAAAUGUUGGUUUUCUUUCUCCUUUUGGUUAACAGCUUUAAUGACAGCUGCAAGACCUUUGUCAAUCCUCCUACUGGGCCUUGUAUUGUAAACAAGUUGAUAAACUAUGUCAAAGUUCUUAAAAGCUUAUGAUUUUAAAGACACAUACAAGGUUAUAAACAGAUGCUAAUGAGUCAAUCAAUGGGAAAUGUUGUACUCUAAGAAAAUAGCUUCAUUAUGUGUGUAUUAUAGCAAACCUGUAAAGUGGCUUAUAAAUGUUUUUUUUUUCCUUUUUCCCUAACUGAUAUGUUAAGUGACCUAAUUGAUAUGUUGAGUAACACUCUCCUCUGUAAAGAAUUGCAAAAAUCUCACCUAAUUGAUAUGUUAACCAUUGUUGCCCUCUACAAACUACAGAAGCUGUGCUACAACAAGCUAACAAGGGUUGUUAAUCACUGCUAGGUGCCUCUAUUAUCCGCUAAAGAGCUAAAGAAAACUAAAAUGACAAUUAAUUUACAUUUGUUUAAAGUAACCUGCUUGUAUACAGGGAGAUUUGCAUAUGAGUUUAACCCUGUACCCUGACCUUGACACAUGACCGCCAUUUUCUGUUCUGUAUGGGGCCUUAUUGCCUCCCUCUCCCCUCACCUAUAUACCUAGGCCAUAAAAAUAUUUGGGCUUCUGGUGACCUCUCCCCGAGCCGGUGAUGAUCUGUCAUAAAAUGAGCCUGCCCCAAAGUUUAAGAACUGUUUAGCUUCAAAGAAAUUACCGGGAAAUACUAUGGCCCAAACCCCAAUCGGUGCUUUCCUUUUGUUCUGUAUACAUCAAAUGAGUUAGAUAUCAGAUCUUUGUAAAACUUAAGUUUCAGCUUCUUGUAACUCUUGACCUCUUCGCACCCACUCGCGAAAACGAGCUGUCCUGGGAUAAUUAACUGUCCACUUUCUUCCCCAAAUAUUGCUACAGAUGUGCCACUCUGAGAUAAUGUCAGUCUGCAGGAUGGGAGUAAUUUAAAAAACACCAGAAACUCCAAGAUUGUCAGAGCUAAGUGGACAAGAAUACAGUUUCCAGACUCAGGUCAACAAAUUUGAUGGCUCUGCAGGUUUCUUUAUAAAUCACAUAACUCAGUUUAUUAACUCCCAAGUCUCUCAGAUGAAAAUAAUGGUCCUUAGACAACAAUAUACCCCCUUAGCUAAAAUUAAACCUCUAAGAUUAGAGGUAUUAUACAUCAAGAGGGGGGAAUGAAGAGCCAGAAAUUUAAAGGUUAAAAACAAGAUGCUGUUUCUCAGCUAGAAAUAGCACUGGGCCUCGUGACUCAGUCCUAACUCAGCCCUGAAGGAAGAAAAAAAAAUCUGUGGCUGUGAUUUUCUCAGGAUGUGCUGUGCCAGGGAACUCAGAGAUAGAGCCUGCCAUUAUGUUAAUCGGGGUUGUAAAAUAUGUCAGACUCGAGCCUACAGAAACCAGGUGUCUUAAAGAUAAGUUGUGCAGAACAAAGACAGUUAAUUAACUCUGACCCGCUGGUCACCCCUUAUGAACUGACCAAUAGCAGAUAGACAAGAUGCCCACCGCUCCGCACUAACUAUAAUGAUUGGCUUCUGUAAUAAACACUUACAUUGCAGUUUUUCCCCCUUAAAAACACCAGCCUUGCCCCAACUCAGGGUUCUCCAUUUCCACAUGUUUGGAGGACCCCGUGUACACUGAAUAAUAAAAACCCCUUUGUUCUUGCAUGAGAGCGAGGCCCUUGGAGUCUUCCUUGUGACACCGGUCUUACACUACAACACAGGUGAGAUUGUUCUUUAAUUCUAUGUAGUUACUAAGAUAUCAGAUAGUUUUCUUAAUUUCUUUUUUUGUAAAAAAAAAAUACAUUUAUUACUGGAAGAAGCGGAAAACAAAACAGCUUUAAUUAAUCCAGCAGUUGAAAUUUUACAGUAAAGUUUAAAUGGCUAUAAAUCCAUAUAUCUGUUCUGAGCUGUCUUUAUAAAAAUAAAAUUAAGCAUGUAGCCCCCAAAGUAAACCAUUCAUAUGAAUCAGCAUAAAAAUGAUAUACCUUUGAAAAUGUGUUAUUCAAUACAAAAUAUAUCAUUAGGCAAAUAGUUUGUUGAGUAAUAUUAAGUUUGUAGAGUCAAUAAAAUCAUGUCAUUUCUUUGUAAUUUUUCUUCAUCUCUGACUGUUAAGAAGCUGAUGAAUUUUGUCAUUAUUUUGUAUAUUAUUUAAAAACAUUAAUUGGCAUUGGGAAGUUGUGAUUAAUUACCAACAUAGUGCUACAAUUUCAAGUUCUAAAUUUUCCUAUAAUAAUCAUAGAUAAUUACUCAUAGUGGAAAAAUUUAGAUCUAAUUUAGACAAAUGUUAAGCAAUUCAUAAAAUUCUG